GACGAACGCUGGCGGCGUGCUUAACACAUGCAAGUCGAACGCUGAAGCUCAGCUUGCUGGGUGGAUGAGUGGCGAACGGGUGAGUAACACGUGAGUAACCUGCCCUCUUCUUUGGGAUAACGCCCGGAAACGGGUGCUAAUACUGGAUAUUCACUGAUUCUCGCAUGGGGGUUGGUGGAAAGGUUUUUUCUGGUGGGGGAUGGGCUCGCGGCCUAUCAGCUUGUUGGUGGGGUGAUGGCCAACCAAGGCUUUGACGGGUAGCCGGCCUGAGAGGGUGACCGGUCACAUUGGGACUGAGAUACGGCCCAGACUCCUACGGGAGGCAGCAGUGGGGAAUAUUGCACAAUGGGCGAAAGCCUGAUGCAGCGACGCCGCGUGAGGGAUGGAGGCCUUCGGGUUGUAAACCUCUUUCGCUCAUGGUCAAGCCGCAGCUUUGGGUUGUGGUGAGGGUAGUGGGUAAAGAAGCGCCGGCUAACUACGUG
rnacentral:rRNA from 1 species